CCCUUAGAGUUUGAUCCUGGCUCAGAUUGAACGCUGGCGGAAUGCCUAACACAUGCAAGUCGAACGAGUUGUGUAGCAAUACACAGCUAGUGGCGGACGGGUGAGGAACACAUAGGAAUCUACCCUUGUAGUGGGGAAUAGCCCGGGGAAACCCGGAUUAAUGCCGCAUACGCACUACGGUGGAAAGCGGAGGAUCGUAAGACUUCGCGCUAUAGGAUGAGCCUAUGUCGGAUUAGCUAGUUGGUAGGGUAAUGGCCUACCAAGGCGACGAUCCGUAGCUGGUCUGAGAGGACGAUCAGCCACACUGGAACUGAGACACGGUCCAGACUCCUACGGGAGGCAGCAGUGGGGAAUAUUGGACAAUGGGGGCAACCCUGAUCCAGCAAUUCCGCGUGGGUGAAGAAGGCCUUCGGGUUGUAAAGCCCUUUAGGCAGGGAAGAAAAGCCGUAUGUAAAUAAUGUACGGUCUUGACGGUACCUGCGGAAUAAGCACCGGCUAACUCUGUGCCAGCAGCCGCGGUAAUACAGAGGGUGCAAGCGUUAAUCGGAUUUACUGGGCGUAAAGCGUGCGUAGGCGGCCAGACCAGUCGGAUGUGAAAUCCCCGAGCUUAACUUGGGAACUGCAUCCGAAACUAUCUGGCUAGAGUGUGGUAGAGGGCGGUGGAAUUCCCGGUGUAGCGGUGAAAUGCGUAGAUAUCGGGAGGAACAUCAAUGGCGA
rnacentral:rRNA from 1 species